AUUGAACGCUGGCGGCAUGCCUAACACAUGCAAGUCGAACGGUUUGUGGGGUUUACUCUACAAAUAGUGGCGGACGGGUGAGUAAUAUGUAGGAAUCUGCCUUGAGGAGGGGGAUAACUUGGGGAAACUCAAGCUAAUACCGCGUAAGUCGGAAACGAGAAAGCAGGGGAUCGAAAGACCUUGUGCCUUAAGAUGAGCCUACAUCGGAUUAGCUAGUUGGUGGGGUAAAGGCCUACCAAGGCGAUGAUCCGUAGCUGGUCUGAGAGGAUGACCAGCCCCACUGGGACUGAGACACGGCCCAGACUCCUCCGGGAGGCAGCAGUGGGGAAUAUUGGACAAUGGGGGCAACCCUGAUCCAGCAAUGCCGCGUGUGUGAAGAAGGCCUUCGGGUUGUAAAGCACUUUCAGUGGGGAAGAAGGGUGAGCGGUUAAUACCCGUUCAUUUUGACGUUAUCCACAGAAGAAGCACCGGCUAACUCUGUGCCAGCAGCCGCCGUAA
rnacentral:rRNA from 1 species